UGCAAUUUAAAAUAAGAUAUUAAUCAAAAACCAUUAUUAACAAUAUUUAGGGAUCUCAGUCGACAUCUAGGGAUAAAUAAGGUUCGAGUUGGGGAUAAACCGUUCCGCCCAUCUGGCAACACUGUAUUAGUGUGUUAGUAUUAUUGUAACUGUCGUGAUCAAACAACUUGACGAAACAUUCGUCAUCAAUAUAAAGCAAGAUGUAAUAAAAUAACAAUAUAAUCGCAAGGAUGUUUUCCUAUGAGAUUUUUUAGCUUAUAUCGUAAAUGAUACGUUUUUAAUUUUUGAAUUUUCAAACUAAUUUAAAUUUUAAAAUGCAUAUCCUGGUCAUUUAAAUCCUUUUUUAUAUAUAUAAGAAAUAUAUUAUAUCCGAACAAGAGCAAUGAUACCAAGCAAUUUAAUUGGAAUUUCAACGUAGUCUUCAGCGAUUUUUCUUUUAUCUCCAUAGUUACCAGAGACAUGCCAUGAAACUUAAAAAAUUGGUUCACCAUAUUUCGUAUUCUGAUAGAAGAAGAAACACCAUAUUAGUUCCAGUUCUUCCAAAAAAAAAAAAACUGACGAAAAAAUCAAAUCAGCAGCACAGCGCAGAAACUGACAUAGAAUCCGGUAUGUUUAUGACAUUUCAGGCCUCAUAGACCGGUCUCUAUAUCCCCUAUUGUACCUUUUUUGCAGUUAAGGUCACUAAAGUACUCUAGUUUCAAGAUUUAGUCCCUAUGGCACCUUAUUUGUAACCCAUAAUAGAACAUUAAUCAAUUUAUGAUAAGAUCGAAGCUUCCAAGAGUCACGCAUUUUGAAAGAAUAGCAAAAA